UGCAGUCGAACGAGCGACCCCGGCUUGCCGGGGAAGCUAGUGGCGGACGGGUGAGUAACACGUAAGCAACCUGCCCAAAAGUGUGGAAUAACCCACCGAAAGGUGAGCUAAUACCGCAUGUUGUGGUUCUUCCCUGGAGGAAUCAUUAAAGGAUUUAUUCGCUUUUGGAGGGGCUUGCGGCCGAUUAGCUAGUUGGUGGGGUAAUGGCCCACCAAGGCGACGAUCGGUAGCUGGUCUGAGAGGACGGACAGCCACACGGGGACUGAGAUACGGCCCCGACUCCUACGGGAGGCAGCAGCUAGGAAUCUUGGGAAUGGGCGAAAGCCUGACCCAGCAACGCCGCGUGGGCGAUGAAGGCCUUCGGGUCGUAAAGCCCUUUUGUGGGGGACGAUAAUGACGGUACCCCACGAAUAAGCCACGGCUAACUACGUGCCAGCAGCCGCGGUAAUACGUAGGUGGCGAGCGUUGUCCGGAUUUACUGGGCGUAAAGGGCGUGCAGGCGGUUUGCUAAGUCUAGGGUGAAAGCUCCCGGCUCAACUGGGAGAGGUCCUUGGAUACUGGCGAACUUGAGGGAUGCAGAGGAAAGUGGAAUUCCCGGUGUAGUGGUGAUAUGCGUAGAUAUCGGGAGGAACACCAGUGGCGAAGGCGGCUUUCUGGGCAUUUCCUGACGCUGAGACGCGAAAGCGUGGGGAGCGAACCGGAUUAGAUACCCGGGUAGUCCACGCCGUAAACGAUGGACACUAGGUGUAGGGGGUAUCGACCCCCUCUGUGCCGUAGCUAACGCAAUAAGUGUCCCGCCUGGGGAGUACGGCCGCAAGGCUAAAACUCAAAGGAAUUGACGGGGGCCCGCGCAAGCAGCGGAGCGUGCGGUUUAAUUCGUCGCAACGCGAAGAACUUACCAAGGCUUGACAUGCUAGUGGUACC
rnacentral:rRNA from 1 species